AAGUGGAGCAAUCCAUGAGUAAAGUGGCGCACGGGUGAGUAACACGUGACUAACCUACCUUCGAGUGGGGGAUAACCUCGGGAAACCGGGGCUAAUACCGCAUAACAUCGCAAGAUCAAAGCAGCAAUGCGCUGGAAGAGGGGGUCGCGGCUGAUUAGCUAGUUGGCGGGGUAACGGCCCACCAAGGCGAAGAUCGGUAUCCGGCCUGAGAGGGCGCACGGACACACUGGAACUGAAACACGGUCCAGACUCCUACGGGAGGCAGCAGUGGGGAAUUUUGCGCAAUGGGGGAAACCCUGACGCAGCAACGCCGCGUGGAGGAUGAAGCCCCUUGGG
rnacentral:rRNA from 1 species